CCCACCUGCAACUUGACAUUGCAGAGAUGUCCGGACAACAUGUCAAAUGUUUAUCCAAAUGACGCUAAUGCUUUAACACUUCCUCACAGCCAGUGGCACAACAAUCCUGAUGGUUACAAUUUAGACCUUCUAAUGAAGAUUAAUGCGGCUCUGGGAAGUCCGUAUAUACCCUUUAUGUCAAUAAACAACCUUCACGACUACUGAUUCCUGAUGGGAAUACUAGAAAAUGUUUCAUGGCAGCGUGCACUCCUCAGAUCUAAUGGACUCUGAAAGCAAAUGUGAACAUAUCGAUGGAAAUACAAGGUUCAAUUCCGUGCAAUACAGGAUACAGCAGAGCUAAAGGAAACAUAUUCAGCGACUUCAGGAAACAUAUUCAGCGACUUCAGGAAACAUAUUCAUCGACUUAAGAACAAUCAGCGAGGAGGAGAGAUUGUGC